ensembl:snRNA U2 U2 spliceosomal RNA
AUUGCUUCUUGGCCCUUGCUUUAGAUCAAGGGCAGUGUUUGUUCUUAUCAGUUAAUAUCUGAUAUGCCCUCUAACCAAGGACAAUAUACUAAAUGGACGUUUGAAACAGGAAGAUGUAACAAGAGGUUGCUAUGUCCACCCAAUGCAUUGACCUGGUAUUAUAGUAACUCCAGAAACAGUGCACCCCAG